AGUGAACGCUGGCGGUAGGCCUAACACAUGCAAGUCGAACGGCAGCACAGUAAGAGCUUGCUCUUACGGGUGGCGAGUGGCGGACGGGUGAGGAAUACAUCGGAAUCUACUUUUUCGUGGGGGAUAACGUAGGGAAACUUACGCUAAUACCGCAUACGACCUACGGGUGAAAGCAGGGGAUCUUCGGACCUUGCGCGAUUGAAUGAGCCGAUGUCGGAUUAGCUAGUUGGCGGGGUAAAGGCCCACCAAGGCGACGAUCCGUAGCUGGUCUGAGAGGAUGAUCAGCAAAACUGGAACGGAGAAACGGUCCAGACUCCAACGGGAGGAAGCAGUGGGGAAUAUGGGACAAGGGGCGAAAGCCUGAUCCAGCCAUACCGCGUGGGUGAAGAAGGCCUUCGGGUUGUAAAGCCCUUUUGUUGGGAAAGAAAAGCAGCAGGUUAAGACCCCGCUGUUCUGACGGUACCCAAAGAAUAAGCACCGGCUAACUUCGG
rnacentral:rRNA from 1 species